rnacentral:rRNA from 1 species
UACGUAGGGGGCAAGCGUUGUCCGGAUUUACUGGGCGUAAAGAGCGCGUAGGCGGACGUUUAAGUGUGGCCUGAAAGCCCCCGGCUCAACCGGGGAUCCGGGUUGCAAACUGGACGUCUUGAGGGGGAUUGGGGAAGGUAGAAUUCCUGGUGUAGCGGUGAAAUGCGUAGAGAUCAGGAGGAAUACCCGUGGCGAAGGCGGCUCUCUGGGACGGUACUGACGCUGAGACGCGAAAGCGUGGGGAGCGAACAGC